GGAUCAAAAUACACAGAUUCUUUGGAGUGACCAGGAACUGCCAGAGGCUGGCUUGAAACCAAGACGUCCGUCUGUCCUGUCCGCCACUCCACCCACUUCCAGCUGGCAGCUCUCUGUUCCGGAGUCCGGCAGAUCACAUACAUCCGUGGCGGAAACCAAAGGAUAUAGCCAUAAGAUGGCAAUGGAAAGCAAGAGGUGGCUUCUGAUGCGAUUCCAUACAUAGCCAUGCACAUUUCUAUGCUGUCGUCGUAUCCAGAGCCUCCCGAUGCAAAGCUCACACCCCUCCUGAGCUGGGCCAGCCUCAGGCUUGGGUCAAAGAAGCCUGGAAUAGUUCUCGCUAUACCUAGCUUCUCCGCUGCAUAUAUGACAU